AACCAUAGAAACCUGCGGAGUACCUGCGGAAGGAUCAUUACCGAGUUAUACAACUCAUCAACCCCUGUGAACUUACCUACAACGUUGCUUCGGCGGGAACAGACGGCCCCGUAAAACGGGCCGCCCCCGCCAGAGGACCCCUAACUCUGUUUUUAUAAUGUUUUUCUGAGUAAACAAGCAAAUAAAUUAAAACUUUCAACAACGGAUCU
rnacentral:misc_RNA from 1 species